rnacentral:rRNA from 1 species
GAUGAACGCUGGCGGCGUGCUUAACACAUGCAAGUCGAACGAGAAAUGUAGACGGAAACCUUCGGGCGGAAGCCUUCAUUUCGAGUGGCGGACGGGUGAGUAACGCGUGGGUAACCUGCCUCAUACAGGGGGAUAACAGUUGGAAACGACUGUUAAUACCGCAUAAGACCACAGCAUCGCAUGAUGCGGGGGUAAAAACUCCGGUGGUAUGAGAUGGACCCGCGUUCGAUUAGCCAGUUGGCGGGGUAACGGCCCACCAAAGCGACGAUCGAUAGCCGAUCUGAGAGGAUGACCGGCCACAUUGGGAAUGAGACCAGGCCCAAACUCCUACGGGAGGCAGGCGUGGGGAAUAUUGCCACAUGGGGGAAAACCUGAUGCAGCCACGCCGCGUGAGUGAAGAUGUAAUUCGGUAUGUAAAGCCCUAUCAGCAGGGAAGAAAAUGACGGUACCUGAGUAAGAAGCCCCGGCUAACUACGUG